rnacentral:rRNA from 1 species
GUAAGGAAUAUUGGUCAAUGGGGGCAACCCUGAACCAGCCAUGCCGCGUGAAGGAUGAAGGCGUUAUGCGUUGUAAACUUCUUUUGUAUGGGAAGAAUGACAGGGAUUCAUCCUUGGAGAGACGGUACCAUACGAAUAAGCACCGGCUAACUCCGUGCCAGCAGCCGCGGUAAUACGAAGGGUGCAAGCGUUAAUCGGAAUUACUGGGCGUAAAGCGCGCGUAGGUGGUUUUGUAAGUUGGAGGUGAAAUCCCCGGGCUCAACCUGGGAACUGCCUCCAAAACUGCAUGACUAGAGUACGGUAGAGGGUAGUGGAAUUUCCUGUGUAGCGGUGAAAUGCGUAGAUAUAGGAAGGAACACCAGUGGCGAAGGCGACUACCUGGACUGAUACUGACACUGAGGUGCGAAAGCGUGGGGAGCAAACAGGAUUAGAAACCCCGGUAGUCC